rnacentral:rRNA from 1 species
UUUCACGGCUACAUUCAGAAAUAAGCAUCAGAAACAGUCAGAUCUUUGAAGAAAGCUUCUGCAAGCCGUGUUAGUACUGAAGUGAGAGAUCAUUGGGGGAAGGUUGGUGUCGUGAUUU